GCACUUCUGAGGAGUCCCACAAUAGGACGAAAUGACCGUUGAGUGC
rnacentral:hammerhead_ribozyme from 1 species